GGACGCGGUAGCGAAGAACCAUCGACUGCGACUUAGCGAGCCUGCCCUGGCAGUGGGAGCCUGAAGCAGGCACGGGCGAAGAACACUGUCAGGUCGCUGAGUCGGCGUCCCAGUUGAUGGGGAGCUACC
rnacentral:misc_RNA from 1 species